UUUUUUCCCUCUUGAAUUGUAUGCUAAUUUGAGCUAGCUAGCCAGCCAGCUAACAUGUUUGUUAUGGAUUCAUUUAGCUAUAUAGGGCACGAUCGCGCCUCCAUUAAGAUGAAGGGUUUAGCUUUAGGUUAUUUAGAUUGUUUGUUUGCUUAGCCAAUUUGGUAUUUGAGUUUUAGGCUGCAGUAUAUUGGAGAGGGAUGCACUUUUCUUUAAUGAGUAGAAAAAUGAUAUGUUUGGAUUCAGGGAAGUCAAUAGAGGUUGGUAAAUUUCAUUGAAAUAUUCAUAUACGCUUACAAAUGCAAAAAUAUCAAACUUUAAGAGUAGUGGUUAUUCACACUCGUGGUGCUAUUUUUUUUUUAAAAAUGGAUGCUUUGAAACAAUGGUGUCUGCUAUCAAACACCUUUUUUAAUGGAAAUAACAUGAACAAGCUAUGGAACUGGUGCAUCUAGAAUUCAGAAAGUAUUCAUCUUCUAUAAUUUCAUUGUAGAAAUGUGUCCUCAGAUGUACUGGAUUUGUUCUGUUCAGAAGUCAUCAGCCAAUUUAUUUGCUGCAGUCUUUGAUUUUGAUAUCAUAACACGGUAAACAAUUUUUGUUUUCACAGAGAUUUACACCGAGAGGAUGUUUCAGCCUUUGCUUUCUGCUUAUUCAACAGUAGGCAUCCAAGAUACAGCUCUCUUUCUGGGAAUGAAUGAAGAUGAUGCUGCAAGUUGUAAGAUUCUGAUACUCCAUUCUCACUUGUUUUUUCUGUUAUGAGAUGUCAAUAUUGAUGAGUAGUGACUCUCGUGCUUUGGCGCUUUAAGUCAUACAGGAGUGGGAUUAGUGCUUAGUUUCAACAAUUUAGCUUCUCCAUGGUAAAAUAAGAGAGAAAAUAGAACAAAUAGAAUUACCACCAAUGAUAAAACCAUGAUAACAAUACAGGAGAAAGUGAGAAGUGCUUUCAAAAGCAUCGAUGAUUUUUGGGUCAAACAGAAGCUGACAAGCACUGAUCAGUGUCUGACUAGAGAUGAAUAGGGGAAUUUCAAAGGAUGUCCCAACCAUCUUUAAACCAAAUGCUCAACCAAAGAAAGCUUUUCCACAGGAAGUUCAGUUAAUGUUUGAAAAAGAAGAGACGUACUUCUCCAGAUCUCCAAUUGGGAGCCAAUGGCUUUACGGUUUUCAGAUUAGCACAAAAUGACAGAACCCUGGAUCUCUUGCAAUGUCAAAAAGGGUGUGGAUAUAUUCGUGAUUCAAGGUCUUGUUGGUCAAAUCUUGAUACUGAGAUUGAUUUUGAAGUCUCAUAGUGGGCGGGCCUGCGGAUUAUGGUAGCGUCUACAGAAAUCAUGACCUUUCCCUAUAUAUGGUGAAGGUUUAAUUUUUUGAAAACAUUAUUUCAAGCAAAGCUUCUGUCCUCAAUAGUUUAGUAAUCAGUUGAUUCUCUUGCAGUUACAACAUAAAUAGAGUUUGAUUGUUGUGAACAUGAUAAGAGCUCAGGAUAGUUAAGACAUUUUGCUUUUUUACCUAUUGCUUUCUGGCAUAACAAACUCGGACACGGUCUGAACUCAAUGUAUGUAUUCAUGAAGCUAUCAAUGUAUCCAUCUUUCUGUCCAUAUGUAAUGCAUGCGUGUGCACUGUAUGUUAGAUUGUUGUAUGCAUUUGUCUAAUGCAUACAUGCUAUGCUGUCAACAGGAUUUUUGUUUUCGUAUGCAGAUGUAAUGCAGCAGGGUUGGGUUGUCGAUCCUGCUUCUCGAAUGCUUAUCGUGAAAAGGCAGCCUGUUUCAACAGAGCAGAAACUGGAUCAUAGUAAACUACAGCGCUUGACAGAAUAUGUGCUCCACUUGGAGCAUUAAUAGAACUCUAAAACACUACCAACUUCUACUGAAAGUCUUCAUGUUCUGAUCACUGGUUGUGAUGAGUAAAAUCUUUUGAGGAUGCACAGUGCUUGAACGUGCAGCAAGGAAGCUGAAAGAACUGGUUUGCCUUCUAAUUGGGGGGCUUCCUUUGGUUGUUUUUGCUUGGAGUUGUAAACAGUUCUAUAGUUGAAACGCCAUUGAUACAGAGUGAGUGAAAAAUUUAGGAGAUGAGCAACAUGGUUCUUGGAAUCAUCUGGCUGGUAUCUACCCCUUAGUAGGUUGACUAGGAAAAUUCUGGUUCCUAGAGCAUGGUUUGAACCGGGUUCUUUUUUUAGUUUAAAUAGAUAAGAUAUUAAUUGAUAAAAUUUAAUUGCUCUGGUUAAAUUUUCCUAA